GUGUGUGUGUACACUGACUGACUGGGAGUGACGUUUAUCUGACCUUUGGACCAAGACUAACACUCCAAUUGACUUUACUGCACCAGAAAGGUGAACACAAUUUAUGCUGCAAGACUGGCAAGAUGCACACCAAUUACCCAACAAGCAAAUUCAAAUUCUUUCAAAAACAGGUAAAAUAAAAUAAAUGUUUACCUUUCAGGUAAGUAUUAAAGGCCUUUGCCACAUGAUCUUUGUGGGUAAAUCGUGUCCACUCAAUUUAUAACUUAAUUUGUAUCUAAAUAUUUACAAUGCCUGACACCAUGGCAUUACAAUAAUUUCUUGUUUUGCGUUAUUGAGUGCAAAGGCCUUUAUUUACACACUGACGCAUGCCAAGACUGCCAUCAUGGCAUGUGUCACUGUCUCUCUCUUGUCUGUCUCUCUCUCGCUGGUCUGUCCUGUGUGUCUUUCUGCCUGUCUUGUGUAUCUGGUCUCUGUCUGUAUCGUGUCUGAUCUCCGCCUGUCUUGUGUCUGGUCUGUCUGGUGUCGCUGUCUUUCUAUCUGUCCUGUGUCUCUGUCUUUCUGUCUCUCUCGGUCCGUCUCUUGCUGUCUCUGUGUCUGUCUGUCUCUCUUGCUCUCUGUCUUGUGUGUCUGGUAUCCGUCUGUCUGUCCUGUGUCGGAUUCAGUCACUUUUUUAGUCUCGACUUAAAUAGAUGAUUUUAAAGUUGAUUAGUCUUGAGGCGUCUGAUUUCUGCAGGAAAUUUUGGUACCUUAUUUUGAAAUGGCUUUAAUUUAAUUUUGGUCAGUUAUCAUAGUUGCAACUUGGAUUGUUGACAAACGUGGAAGCUGAUGAAUCAUGUAGUAAAUGCAUCAAAGUUUACUGUAGCUUGUCUAAAGUUCUUUCAAAGUGCUGUAAAAAUGUAGUAAUUGAUUAUGAUGAGCUAUACCAGGUGUUCAUUUAUUCUCAACAGGUAAUUGCUUUGAUAAGAUAACUGGUUCCUGAUUUGAUUAUGAAGCAAAACUUUUGAUUAAUAUGCAAGUGUAGUCACAUUAGAUUGUAGGUGUUAUUCAGCCCAUUGAUAAUGUUAUGAUAUAGUUUGUAAUAUGGCAUUUGUUGGCACACUUUUGAUAUCCAUUUAAGUCUUAAACUUAACACACUGCCAUCAGCCUUUGUAGUCGCUAACUGAAAUCAAAUUCAAUAUUAAUGCCGACUUGUCUCACUCUGCCAAGUUUAUUUCCCUCUAAAGGAGUUGAACCUUUUUGUGUUCAUAGUCUUUUUGCGCGGUAUGUUGGGAGGCCUCCCAGCAGGGGAUUUUUAUCUUCCCCUGCAAAACUAUGCGUUAUUCGCCUUAGGGAUGCAGGGCUAUCCUGCAUAGUUUCUUUCAUAAAUGAGAUUGUAGGUUGCAGGAUUAGAGCGCGUUUCUUUUCUUUAGGAGGACACAAACCUGGCAGAGAGACAACUCGGAUUAUUUAAGUGAAAGUUGUGCCAAAUGUUCAAACUUUUUAUCUUUCGAUACGACGACAUGAAAUAAAACCUUUAUUCUGUGGGCUGAAUUCAGACAGAAGUUGGCUUCAUGUUAAAGAUUGUUGUGCAAGUACCCUCUUGUAGCAGAGGGUAGAGAGUGAGCAGCUGCAGCUUUUUAAUUUAUUUUUCGUUAUUUAAUUUGUUUGUUGGAUUUACUUGGUGUCUGGUGCUUUGUAGUUAACAGUGAUCAUGUAAACGUGUAAACGCAAGUGGUCUGUUGCCUUUUAUUUGCGAAGCUGGCAGCUGGUUGAAAUGGUAGGACUUUAUGGCUUGCCCACAGUGGGAUUUUUGAUAGAGCAUAGGGUUGACACCUCACCAUACACUAGCUAUUUCAGCGAACAAGUGUCUGUAGUCCGUUAUUACCCAUGACCUUCUUUCAAAUUUCACAAUUUAGGCAGCUUGUAGAGUCAUUAGGAAGAUGCUUAAUCCCAAUGUCUUGGUUGGUUGCAUGAGAAACUGCUAUCUCUUAGAUGUGUUGGCGAAGUUCCUCCUCUGGUUUUUGUAGACUUGCCCUAAAGUUUCUCUCUGCUUUAACUCUCGUUGAGCUAUGCAUUAAAUGAUUCCUCCAACUUGUCUCCAUAUCAAUUUUUUUCUCCCUGCAGCCUUCCACCACCCACUGCUGCUGUUGCAUCUGCUAAAGGUAGCCGUAUCCUGAUUCACUGCAUCUUCAUGUGUUGGGUAAGAAGUGUCAUUAGACUACUAACAAUGUAAACACCUUUUAAAUGCUUGAUCUAAUUUACCCAAAUGGUUCAUCAGUUUAGGACAAAAAAUAUCAUUGAAUUUGACAUUCUUGGGGUCAGUAACCUGACCUCUAAAUGUUUGGGAAACCAUGCAAAAGAUCGCAAGCUCUCUGCAUGACCCAACAGCAUCGAUGUUUGAGUUAUUUAAUUGCUCAAUUUUUAAAUCAGUCAAGAUUUUAUGAGCUGGGUCUUCUUCACACAACAGAGAACAAGGUAAAUUGAGUCGACUCGUAACAUGGUAAGGCAUUUUGUCCUUCCCCUUCUUCUCUGUGUGUGAGGAAAUCUGGCCACAGAUCCUGACUGAGUGGCAUACCAUGGCUGUGCAGUUUCCAAAAUCAGAUAAGGAUCCAUCUGAUUUUGUGACUCAGCCUGUCAUGAUAUGCAUGUAUCUUCCUCCGAAAUAAAGGAUUGAAAUGGACAGGUUUGUAGUGUAAAUCACAUCACAUCACUUGUAGCUGGUGAAGCAUUUGUUUAAAUUGGGGUCAAGCAUUUUCAGGUGUCUGCUUUGUCAAUACUCUGGUGCCACAUCUUGCUAAACACACGAGAAGCUCUGAAUUGUGAAACUGCUGCCUCUUGCAGAUGUUACAACAGCAAUUGCUGUUGAAAGGCUGCAGGGAGAGAAAAUGAGAUCUGAGGACAGGAAAGUGGAAUUGAUUUCAUGCUUAGCAAAAUGAGGGUUUCAGCAGAGGAACUUUUUGUGGCGAGGCUACAGAAGCAGAAGGAACUGUUUGUCUGGGCAACUGGGAGAUUUACAUUUUUUCAUGCAGCCAACCAAGACAUUGGGGUUAGCAUCAUCCCAAAUGGCUGGCAAAGAUUGUAACUGUCAGUGUAGGACAGGAAAGGCAGGUAUAGGUUAGGGAGGGCAUCCAUCGGUGAGCUCUGACUGGAUGUGAGGACCUGUCACACUUGACCAGAGAUGAAGGCUGCAGCACAUUCCUGGAUCAGAGGACUCCAUGUUAGACACCUCGACCUGGAGAAGUCCCAUCCUGGAUGGCUGUGGUGAUGACCUAGCCCAAGAUGAACCGACUCUUCUACGACGAGGACUUCACCCAAGAUGAACCGACCUUUUCCACGGGAUGUCUUCGGAUGUUGGACCUUGCCAAACUGUACACAUGCCUCAAUGGCUGCUACGUCACUCUGCCCAACAGGACAUGGUCACCGAGAUUUUUUAAAUGGACUUUAACCCCUCCUGUCCCCACUGACUCACAACCACACAUGACAAAACACUGUACAUGUGAUGCAUCACCACACUAAAAUACAGACACUGCUACUUUCAGCCUGUAAUGUUAGACAUUGAAAACUUGUAUUUAUUGCCUUCUUUAUAUCAAGUAAAACUUUUGUUAUUAACUUUAUGGUUGACUGGUAUUUUUUGAGUGUUAUUUUGACAAGUUAGUGCUUUGAACUUAAAGAUAUGGAAUUCUUUUAAAACGAAUUGCACUGAUCUGUUAGGGUUAGGGUUCUACGCACCUUGUGCUCAAACCCUAAUGAUAUCACAGUAAUCCAGAGCGGUGUAAUAUGAAAAGUGUUGUCUUUUAAAACAAAACAAAACGGAACACCAGCUAUUUUAUUUUAUGACUUUAUUGCAUCAUAUUAUGCAACUCACAACAGACCUGCAUUCACUGACAGUCAUUUAUCCUUUAAAAGCCUAUCAGUCAUAUUUAAUAUUUAUUCUGUCUUAUCCUCUGUUUAUUAAGGAACUCUUGAUUUCCUAUUCCUAACAGCAUUUCCCCAUAUAUAAAUCUCAUUAGACUUUGUUUUUCACAUUUCUACCAA